GUACCGUAGUCUUACUGACGUUCAUGCUCGAAGGUGCGGGUAUCGAACAGGAUUAGAUACCCUGGUAGUCCGCACGGUAAACGAUGGAUGCCCGCUGUUUGCGAUACACAGUAAGCGGCCAAGCGAAAGCAUUAAGCAUCCCACCUGGGGAGUACGCCGGCAACGGUGAAACUCAAAGGAAUUGACGGGGGCCCGCACAAGCGGAGGAACAUGUGGUUUAAUUCGAUGAUACGCGAGGAACCUUACCCGGGCUUGAACUGCAGCGGAAGGAAACAGAGAUGUUGACGUCCUUCGGGACCGCUGCGGAGGUGCUGCAUGGUUGUCGUCAGCUCGCGCCGUGAGGUGUCGGCUUAAGUGCCAUAACGAGCGCAACCCCUGCGGUCAGUUGCCAUCAGUAUUAGCUGGGCACUCUGGCCGGACUGCCACCGCAAGGUGUGAGGAAGGUGGGGACGACGUCAAAUCAGCACGGCCCUUACGUCCGGGGCUACACACGUGUUACAAUGGGGAGCACAGCGAGUCGGCCGCCCGCAAGGUCGGUCCAAUCAGUAAACCUCCCCUCAGUUCGGACUGGGGUCUGCAACCCGACCCCACGAAGCUGGAU
rnacentral:rRNA from 1 species